rnacentral:rRNA from 1 species
UACAGAGGGUGCAAGCGUUAAUCGGAAUUACUGGGCGUAAAGCGCACGUAGGCGGUUUUUUAAGUCAGAUGUGAAAGCCCCGGGCUCAACCUGGGAAUUGCAUUUGAAACUGGGGAACUAGAGUGUGUGAGAGGGGGGUAGAAUUCCAAGUGUAGCGGUGAAAUGCGUAUAGAUUUGGAGGAAUACCAGUGGCGAAGGCGGCCCCCUGGCACAACACUGACGCUCAGGUGCGAAAGCGUGGGGAGCAAACAGG